UGACUUUGUGGCUGUGGUAGCUUGUGAGAACCGUUUGCGCUGGAAUGUGACGCAAUCAGUAAGCGACGGCAAACUAAUGAGAUGGAUUGUUUGAUCACACAAGUGAGAGUUGUUUGUUAUCACGGAAACUUGUUUGACGAUUGCAGAAAUGUGCUUCUUCCUUGGCUUGUAAGGGGUAACCCCUGAGAAGGACCUCCAUUCGCCACCCUCUAAGACUUCAGUCUGAAACUGUCAACUACCUGGCCAGCCAGGGUGCAGCUCUAGUCCAGGGUCCUUAUCCACCCACAACUCAGGCAGAAAGUCCAUCUACUGGGGGGUCCCUGGUUCAGUGCCCCUGAGGGCUGGGACCAGCACUCUGGGCCAGAAGCAGCUGUGAAGGGAUGGGGUAGUAGCUGAGGACAGAGCCAUGGUUCAUAACGUCUCAGUCCCCCAAACA